rnacentral:rRNA from 1 species
UCUAGAGGCUUCUACAAUGGACGAAAGUCUGAUAGAGCGACGCCGCGUGCGGGAUGAAGGUCGUGAGAUUGUAAACCGCUGUCAGCAGGAAAGAAGGCCCGGAUGGCGAAUUCGGGAAUGACGGUACCUGCAGAGGAAGCCCCGGCUAACUCCGUGCCAGCAGCCGCGGUAAUACGGAGGGGGCUAACGUUGUUCGGAAUCACUGGGCGUAAAGGGUGCGUAGGCGGUUCGGUCAGUCUGACGUGAAAUCCUCUCGCUUACCGAGAGAACUGCGUUGGAAACUGCCGAACUCGAGAGUGGGAGAGGCUGGUGGAAUUCCUGGUGUAGCGGUGGAAUGCGUAGAUAUCAGGAAGAACACUAUUGGCGAAGGCGGCCAGCUGGCCCAUUUCUGACGCUGAGGCACGAAAGCCAGGGGAGCAAACG